UAGGGAAUCUACCACAAUGGGCGCAAGCCUGAUGGAGCAACACCGCGUGAGUGAAGAAGGGUUUCGGCUCGUAAAGCUCUGUUGUUAAAGAAGAACACGUAUGAGAGUAACUGUUCAUACGUUGACGGUAUUUAACCAGAAAGUCACGGCUAACUACGUACCAG
rnacentral:rRNA from 1 species